UGGGGAAUAUUGGACAAUGGGCGCAAGCCUGAUCCAGCCAUGCCGCGUGAGUGAUGAAGGCCUUAGGGUUGUAAAGCUCUUUCGCCCGCGAAGAUAAUGACGGUAGCGGGAGAAGAAGCCCCGGCUAACUUCGUGCCAGCAGCCGCGGUAAUACGAAGGGGGCUAGCGUUGUUCGGAAUCACUGGGCGUAAAGCGUACGUAGGCGGAUCGUUAAGUCAGGGGUGAAAGCCUGGAGCUCAACUCCAGAACUGCCUUUGAUACUGGCGAUCUUGAGUCCGGGAGAGGUGAGUGGAACUGCUAGUGUAGAGGUGAAAUUCGUAGAUAUUAGCAAGAACACCAGUGGCGAAGGCGGCUCACUGGCCCGGUACUGACGCUGAGGUACGAAAGCGUGGGGAGCAAACA
rnacentral:rRNA from 1 species